rnacentral:rRNA from 1 species
AGAGUUUGAUCCUGGCUCAGGAUGAACGCUAGCUACAGGCUUAACACAUGCAAGUCGAGGGGCAGCAUGGUCUUAGCUUGCUAAGGCCGAUGGCGACCGGCGCACGGGUGAGUAACGCGUAUCCAACCUGCCUUACACUCUUGGACAGCCUUCUGAAAGGGAGAUUAAUACAAGAUGUUAUCAUGAGUAAGCAUUUUCACAUGAUUAAAGGUUUACCGGUGUAAGAUGGGGAUGCGUUCCAUUAGAUAGUAGGCGGGGUAACGGCCCACCUAGUCUUCGAUGGAUAGGGGUUCUGAGAGGAAGGUCCCCCACAUUGGAACUGAGACACGGUCCAAACUCCUACGGGAGGCAGCAGUGAGGAAUAUUGGUCAAUGGACGAGAGUCUGAACCAGCCAAGUAGCGUGAAGGAUGAAGGUUCUAUGGAUUGUAAACUUCUUUUAUACGGGAAUAAACGAAUCCACGUGUGGAUUUUUGCAUGUACCGUAUGAAUAAGGAUCGGCUAACUCCGUGCCAGCAGCCGCGGUAAUACGGAGGAUCCGAACGUUAUCCGGAUUUAUUGGGUUUAAAGGGAGCGUAGAUGGGUUGUUAAGUCAGUUGUGAAAGUUUGCGGCUCAACCGUAAAAUUGCAAUUGAUACUGGCAGUCUUGAGUACAGUUGAGGUAGGCGGAAUUCGUGGUGUAGCGGUGAAAUGCUUAGAUAUCACGAAGAACUCCGAUUGCGAAGGCAGCUUACUAACCUGUAACUGACAUUGAUGCUCGAAAGUGUGGGUAUCAAACAGGAUUAGAUACCCUGGUAGUCCACACGGUAAACGAUGAAUACUCGCUGUAGGCGAUAUACAGUCUGCGGCCAAGCGAAAGCAUUAAGUAUUCCACCUGGGGAGUACGCCGGCAACGGUGAAACUCAAAGGAAUUGACGGGGGCCCGCACAAGCGGAGGAACAUGUGGUUUAAUUCGAUGAUACGCGAGGAACCUUACCUGGGCUUAAAUUGCAACCGAAUAUGGCGGAAACGCUAUAGCUAGCAAUAGCGGUUGUGAAGGUGCUGCAUGGUUGUCGUCAGCUCGUGCCGUGAGGUGUCGGCUUAAGUGCCAUAACGAGCGCAACCCUUGCCGAUAGUUACUAACAGGUUAUGCUGAGGACUCUGUCGGGACUGCCAUCGUAAGAUGUGAGGAAGGUGGGGAUGACGUCAAAUCAGCACGGCCCUUACGUCCGGGGCUACACACGUGUUACAAUGGGGGGUACAGAGGGCUGCUACCACGCAAGUGGAUGCCAAUCCCAAAAACCUCUCUCAGUUCGGAUUGAAGUCUGCAACCCGACUUCAUGAAGCUGGAUUCGCUAGUAAUCGCGCAUCAGCCACGGCGCGGUGAAUACGUUCCCGGGCCUUGUACACACCGCCCGUCAAGCCAUGGGAGCCGGGGGUACCUGAAGUGCGUAACCGCAAGGAGCGCCCUAGGGUAAAACUGGUGACUGGGGCUAAGUCGUAACAAGGUAGCCG